rnacentral:rRNA from 1 species
UACGUAGGGGGCAAGCGUUGUCCGGAAUCAUUGGGCGUAAAGCGCGUGUAGGCGGCUCGGUAAGUCUGCUGUGAAAGUCCAAGGCUCAACCUUGGAAAGCCGGUGGAUACUGUCGAGCUCGAGUCCGGAAGAGGCGAGUGGAAUUCCUGGUGUAGCGGUGAAAUGCGCAGAUAUCAGGAGGAACACCAAUGGCGAAGGCAGCUCGCUGGGACGGUACUGACGCUGAGACGCGAAAGCGUGGGGAGCAAACAGG